AACACAUGCAAGUCGAGCGGUAACAGAAAUUAGCUUGCUAAUUUGCUGACGAGCGGCGGACGGGUGAGUAAUGCCUGGGAAUAUGCCUUGAUGUGGGGGAUAACUAUUGGAAACGAUAGCUAAUACCGCAUAAUGUCUUCGGACCAAAGAGGGGGACUUUCGGGCCUCUCGCGCUAAGAUUAGCCCAGGUGAGAUUAGCUAGUUGGUGAGGUAAGAGCUCACCAAGGCGACGAUCUCUAGCUGGUCUGAGAGGAUGAUCAACCACACUGGAACUGAGACACGGUCCAGACUCCUACGGGAGGCAGCAGUGGGGAAUAUUGCACAAUGGGCGAAAGCCUGAUGCAGCCAUGCCGCGUGUAUGAAGAAGGCCUUCGGGUUGUAAAGUACUUUCAGUAGGGAGGAAGGCGUUGUCGUUAAUAGCGGCUUCGUUUGACGUUACCUACAGAAGAAGCACCGGCUAACUCCGUGCCAGCAGCCGCGGUAAUACGGAGGGUGCGAGCGUUAAUCGGAAUUACUGGGCGUAAAGCGCAUGCAGGUGGUUCAUUAAGUCAGAUGUGAAAGCCCGGGGCUCAACCUCGGAACCGCAUUUGAAACUGGUGAACUAGAGUGCUGUAGAGGGGGGUAGAAUUUCAGGUGUAGCGGUGAAAUGCGUAGAGAUCUGAAGGAAUACCAGUGGCGAAGGCGGCCCCCUGGACAGACACUGACACUCAGAUGCGAAAGCGUGGGGAGCAAACAGGAUUAGAUACCCUGGUAGUCCACGCCGUAAACGAUGUCUACUUGGAGGUUGUGGCCUUGAGCCGUGGCUUUCGGAGCUAACGCGUUAAGUAGACCGCCUGGGGAGUACGGUCGC
rnacentral:rRNA from 1 species